GAUGAACGCUGGCGGCGUGCUUAACACAUGCAAGUCGAACGGGAAUUCUUUUAUUGCAUCUUCGGUCGAUUUAAUUUAAUUCUAGUGGCGGACGGGAGAGUAACACGUGGGUAACCUGCCUUAUACAGGGGGAUAAAAGUCAGAAAUUGCUGCUAAUACCGUAUAAGCGCACAGAGCUGCAUGUCGCAGCUUGCAAAACUCCGUUGGGAUAGGUCGGAUUCGCGUGGGAUUAGCUUGUAGGCAGGGUAACGGCCUACUACGGGGAGGAUCCAUAGACGGGCAGUGAGGGUGGGCCGCGACAUUGAGGGUGAGACACGGUCCGGAAUCCUACGGGAGGGAGGAGUGGGGGAUACUGCAAAAUGGGGGAAGUGCAGAUGGAGCGCGGCCGCGAAAAGGAAGAAGUAUCUCGGGAUGUAAAUUUCUAUAAGCAGGGAAGAUAGUGACGGUACCUGACGAAGAAGCCCCGGCUAACUACGUG
rnacentral:rRNA from 1 species